CUGCAGCCCGGCUUGAACGGAAAUCCUUUUUUGCUUGUACUCAAGUUCUACUUAAACUGAAAUCGUCUUGCAAAAAAGAUUGGGAGUGGAAGACGGAAAAGCU
rnacentral:misc_RNA from 1 species